rnacentral:rRNA from 1 species
CCUACGGGAGGCUGCAGUGAGGAAUAUUGGUCAAUGGACGAGAGUCUGAACCAGCCAAGUAGCGUGAAGGAUGACUGCCCUAUGGGUUGUAAACUUCUUUUAUAUGGGAAUAAAAUGUUCCACGUGUGGGAUUUUGUAUGUACCAUAUGAAUAAGGAUCGGCUAACUCCGUGCCAGCAGCCGCGGUAAUACGGAGGAUCCGAGCGUUAUCCGGAUUUAUUGGGUUUAAAGGGAGCGUAGGUGGAGUGUUAAGUCAGUUGUGAAAGUUUGCGGCUCAACCGUAAAAUUGCAGUUGAAACUGGCAGUCUUGAGUACAGUAGAGGUGGGCGGAAUUCGUGGUGUAGCGGUGAAAUGCUUAGAUAUCACGAAGAACUCCGAUUGCGAAGGCAGUUCACUGGACUGCAACUGACACUGAGGCUCGAAAGUGUGGGUAUCAAACAGGAUUAGAUACCCUUGUAGUC